GGCUAUUCCCAUGGGGCAGUUUGUCUUGAAAAUAAACUAAGAGCGCUCAACCCGCUCAAUAGCCU
rnacentral:tRNA from 2 species